ACCUUAGAACAUAAGAAUGGCCGUACUGGGUCAAAACAAAGCUCCAUCUAGCCUAGUAUCCUGUCUGCCGACAGCGGCCAAUGCCAGGUGCCCCAGAGGGAGUGAACAGAACAAGGAAUUAUCAGGUGAUCCAUCAACUGUCACCCAUUGGCAACUUCUGA